rnacentral:rRNA from 1 species
CUUUAUUGGAGAGUUUGAUCCUGGCUCAGGAUGAACGCUGGCGGCGUGCCUAAUACAUGCAAGUCGAGCGAAUGGAUUGAGAGCUUGCUCUCAAGAAGUUAGCGGCGGACGGGUGAGUAACACGUGGGUAACCUGCCCAUAAGACUGGGAUAACUCCGGGAAACCGGGGCUAAUACCGGAUAACAUUUUGAACUGCAUGGUUCGAAAU